UGCACGUUGCACUCUGCAGCACUCGCGCGCUCCUUUUACGCUCCGCGCACCUCUGCGCGUAUUGUGAAAGCCUCCGCGCGCCGCCGCUCCGUCACCAGCAGCCGGACUGAAAGUGGGUCGGAGGGCUGUCCCCGCGGCUCCACUGGCGUCGAGAGACCCCCGCCCCCCUCCACACACACACACACACACACACACACACACACUCUCUCUCUCCCGUGGCCGUUGUUGCGCUUCUGCUGCAGCCUCCAAGUUCAGGUGAGCCCGGUGUCCGGCACAACAAGUCCACCUUUUGCGGCACCGACGCGUGGUGUGUGUGUGUGGGGGGGGGAUGCUCGCUGCCUCCGGCUAAAUGGGAUGCUGUAGAUGGGCCGCGCGGGAUGUGAAGCCUCGCUAGAAGAAGCAGCAGGAUGGCGAAACCAGGCUCGUCCUCGGCGGCGGCGGCGGCGGCGGCGCUGCUCCUGCUGGCCGUCCUCUCGGCGUCCUCCGUUCGUGCCGACACCCUGCUGUCAGCGCCGCUCAAUGUGACCAUCAGAGAGCUCGAGGUCAACUCCGCCGUGGUCACGUGGGAAAUCUCGGAGGGGGACCCCGUCAUCGGAUUCGCCAUCACCCAGCAGAAGAAGGACGUACGCAUGUUGAGGUUCAUCCAGGAGGUGAACACCACCACGCGCUCCUGUGCACUGUGGGAUCUGGACGAAGACACCGAGUACAUCGUCCACGUCCAGAGCAUUAGCAUGGGAGGCAGCAGCCCCCCCAGUCAGCCCGUUCUCUUCAGGACGCCGAAGGAGUCGGAGAAGAUGGCAUCCAAGAGUCCAGACGAGGUCACGAUGGAGGAGUUCGGUCAGGCUGCCCAGCUGAGGGCUGGAGAACUCAUCAUCAUCGUAGUGGUGCUCAUCAUGUGGGCAGGCGUCAUCGUCCUGUUUUGUCGUCAGUAUGACAUCAUCAAAGACAAUGAGCCCAACAACAACAAGGACAAAGCCAAGAACUCCUCAGAGUGCAGUACUCCCGAGCACCCACAGGGGGGGCUACUGCGCAGCAACGUCUAAAACCAGCCCUGCAUCGCCUUCUGCAAUAACCAACUCCUUGUACCUCAGGUGACAGACCCUGAGACCAACAGAAAGCCAUUCUCAGACACCAUCGUACCGAAGAGCAGAUUCACCGUCUCCUUUCCUGACACAGUGAAGAACUCUUGAAAUACAGCGGAUCCCAAAUCUGAACGCGAAGACUCCCAGGGUGCAAACGGUCGAACAAGGAAACCGGAGGGGACAAAACAACUUUGACUCUCCUUUCGACGACUUUGUUCGGGCAGCCGACACAGACACAAGACAUGAAGAACUGCUCGAUUCAUACGUUCUGGUUCCUCUGCAUCAGUGGCAUCAAAUCCCAGGAGUGGAUCAUCCAUCACGAAUGUCUGUUGUUGUUGUUUUCUUCUUUCAACCUGAGGUCAGAGUCAGCGGGAAAUCUAGUCUGCCUCACAGGAAUAGCUGCUCCUUGAGCCCCAGGUAUACGUCAGCACACAUCAAAAGGUUUUAAAACCAACUGACUUUCUCUUUUUCUAUCCGUCCACCUGUCAUUACCUCCUUCCUGUCUUUACCACAGCCCUCGGUGUAGCAGCUCGUCUCUCCCCCCACCCCGUCUUUCUGUGUAAGUGUUUCUCUAUUAAGCACAUGGCCAUGUGGUGCUCCUCUUUCCUACUGUGAUUGUUUGAGCCCUCACAAUCUCGGUCUUCAUUAUGGUUUUCAUUCUGACAUUGUAAACCGAGUCUCAUCUCCUGCCUUCCUGGUUUUUUCAUCACCUAAAUGAUGUGUCCGCUUUUCUGUCUCCUCUCUGAACUGGGAACGUAAAGCCGUCGUCAGUGCGGGGAUACGAGACAUCUGUUUUGGAUUUUUCUUUUUGUAAAGUUAACCUAAUAUUUUGCUAAUUUGAGUCAAGUGAUGCUGUCUGAAUACAGCCAUGAUGCAAUUGUCAAGGACUGGCCCGGAUUUGUCAUCAAAGUGGUGUGUUUCUCGAAUCAAACAUUUUUACAGGCCUGAAAUCCGGAAGUUGAACUUUAUUUAAAAAAAAAUAUUAGCAAGACUGGAAAAUGACUGAUAUGGGUUCAUAUUGAGGGUUAUUGUUCAGCAAUGCAUAUUCAUCACCAUAUUCUGUCUGCGGUCUGCAGCAGUGUGUGCAGGGAAUAAUGAUGGAGAUAUAUGCAGAGCGUCAUUCUUAAUGAAAUGUAUGCAAAGUUUGGCUGGGGUUCCACUCUGGUUUGGCUGAAGACCAGCAGGGAUGCCAGGCCGUGCAGGCGAAUGGCUGUUCCAUGUGGCUGAACCCUGUUUUGAAAUGAAACCCAUAUCCACUUAUACGUCCCUCUAUCUGGCAUUAACAUGCGUCCCAAGUUCUCAGACCAUCAUGGGAUAGAGUGAAAAUGCAUUUCAAAUGUGAUCAUCCAAACUGCCAGCAUCUUCGCAAAGCUGCCCUGACAAGGAAAUCGGAAAGUCUAUACCGAGACUACACCAAAUUGUUGGUUAUUGGUCUUUUCAUAGGAUCUGUUGCCAAAAAGAAAAAUAUAGAAUUAUGGCUGCGUGAUUAUUAAAAAAAAUUAAUAAUCUAUUUUUUUUUCAUCAGUGAGUAAAAUCAGUAUCAUUUGCAUCCCUGGUUCUUAAGCGCACUCAAACUUCUUUAAAGGAGUAAUCAUUUAAUACAGAUAUAGAGUUCACUAAAAUGUCAGACAGAAAAACAGAGUUGCAGCCCUAUUCGAGAUAAUUAGUGAAUGUCUGAAUACCUCGCGGGUUGAGAUGACUGCUAAUCAGCGGGACAUAUACACACACACAUACAGACACAUUCUGGAUUGAAAUGCUGCCUUUUUCUAUUGACAUACGGCCCUGCGAUGAGAUAGACAUUGCUUUUCUCAUCUUUAACAUCAGCUCUGCGAGAACAGCGAUCCCCUCGCACCUUGCAUCCAUUUUCACCCUUCUCCUUGUCAGCCUCCUUCUCUCCUCCUCUCUCUCCAGCCACCUCCAUCCGCCUUCAUUCUCCCAUUUCUGACUUCCCCUUCACUUUCUAUCCCUCUGUCGCAAUACUGUCUUUCUCAUAUGACACGGCACCCCUUCCUCAUUUUCCUCCCGUUUACCAGGCUCGUCCUCUCUUCUCUUCCCCCACUUCCAGUUUCCCUCUCAACCGUUUGUCAUUAUCCGCUCUCCGCUCCCUCUGCGCAUAUUAGCUCUACUCUCUCUCACAUCCGGCCCCGGCCAUAGACCCCUUGCCUAUCCCUCAGUCCUCUGCUCAUUUAUCACCUUUUGGUCUCAGAAUGGCCAGGAUGGACGCCUGGUACACAAGUAGGUCCGAAAUAGAGGGAGGGAGGAGGAGAAUGAUAGAAACGACAAAACAGGAGAACCCAAAGGGAGUGGAAAAAAGGACUUUUGUCUUUUUGACUUUUGUCCAAGUGUAGUAAGGCGAAGGAGCAUAUAAUUAAUUUGCUUGUUUGCAUUAUUUUGAGGUAAUACCGGUUGUGUAAAACUAGCACAUCAUCUGUGUACGCUCGUAUUUUCCGCAUUACGUGGAAGGUGGUCCUAGAUGCUAUGAGGCUAAUGUUAGCGACUCUGCCUUGCUCUUGAUUGGUUUUUGGCAAAUUGACCCACCAGCAACACAGUGCCAAUGUUCCCUGAGCCCGCGUUACAAUUGCCAAACACAGUGGUGGGUUCUCAUCCUUAAAGCCUUUCCUUCUUUGACGUUAGCGUACUGUUCGAAAAUACAAACAGUUAUGGAGGCCAAAGCAGCAAAUUUGUUCAAAGAAGUGGGCCGCUGCAACAUUGGUCUUACAUUUUUUAAUACAGACCUCAUAGCUUUCACCUUAGCCUGUUAGCACGAUGGUAGCAUGUAAUCAUGCUACGGCGCAUAUUCAAGUCCAAUUUUACAGUAUUAUUGUUUUAAAAUGAGUCACCUGGAAACAUUAAAAAGUCAGCCAGAGACAGCAUUAAACAAAUCGUGGAGAGAACGUUACAUAGCUUAUUUAGCCACACCUACAAAUCCAAGGUCUAUUUUUCACCACCAUUUUCACCAUGAACUGCAUUUGUGUCAAAUGAGAAUGGGUGUAACUAAGGGGGGGGGGGGGGCUAGGUUAUCGCUCAGUUAGAAAUCAUUUUUUAAGUGAGUAAAAAUGAAGCCAAAGAAUGCAAUGUAUUCUGGACCUUUUUGUGCAACAACCGUAUUCAACAAGACGUAGCAAACAUGGCGACUCACACGGAGGUCGGGUCGCUCUCGUAACUAUAUUUAACUCAUUCAAAGUUGACGGAAAAAAAAAUAGUUUCUUUGUUGCAGGUGAUUAUACAUAUAUGAACACAUAGUUAUGGACAAUAUAUUGAAUUUCUGUGAAUAAGUUCCUCUAAAUAUUACACACUGUAGCUUUAAGCUUUCAUCCACGGGCGGCAAUGAAACAAAUUUUAAUGUAGGAUGAAGGUUGAAAAAAAUCUUAUUGUCAAUAAACUGGCCGCACGGGGGUAAAUAUCAUCCGAAUGCAAACUGAAUAAAAGUGGGUGAUGAAAGUGCAAAAUGUCCUUAAUACCGCUGAACCUCAAGUGGUAGUUUUUCUUACACCACGACGCCAGAGCACAUACACACUCGCUUAAAACACUCACUCACUCACGCACGCAAGCCCAUUCUCCGGCUGGCUGCCGACCAAACCGUCACACUGGGGGAAAGCGGCAGAAGGCAGGUCUGGCUCAGACAGCUCUGCCUCUGUGUAUCUGAGGCUGCAGGAGGCCGACUCAACAGCUGCUCAUGGUGAACAUCCAAUGAGGCGUGUGAGAAUAUGGAGCCGGAGACCAAGAGAAACCUGAAGACAGACAAACAGGCGCAGAAAGAGAGGAGGAGAGGGUGAAGGAAGAUGAGUCGGAGGGAGUAAAACCGGGACUGACGGGAGAGAGAAGAUCAUUACACCCCAAGCAUCCCCGUGUGGCAAAGCCUGAAAGAGAGUAAAUGCAAAUCUUAACCAGGAAAAUUAGAAAAAAACAAACUGUACAGGUUGUGAAAACAUAUAUUUGUCGCAGGAAAAACUUUUUUUUUAAAGAGGUGACACCCUUGGAUGUUUUUUGUCCCCCGUCCCCCCCCCCGUCCCCCCCCAACAAGUGCAUGGUCCUCUAUACAUGUUUGAAUGUUCGGGCAAUCAACCGAUUAAAGUGUAUGAUUUGAUGUAAUCUUAA